CCAAUGUGGUUUAGAUGAAUUCAAGAUUGUUUGGAAUUCUAUUACAAUCAACUAGAGUAGAGACAAAGAAAGCAAGAGGAAUGUCUACUCUUAGCCAAGUGCAUAUAAAUUGCACACUUUAUUUUCUCAUUUGGUACUCUCUCGGUUCAACUCAUAUGACACUCUUUCCAUAUUGGGACGUUCCAAAAUAUUCAAUCAUUCUACUUAUGUACAACUUCCACAACUUUCAAAUACUAAAAUUCAUGAAACUAUUCAUCAUACUCUUAACUCUGAUUUGAUAUUUGCUCUCUUUUCAACCACUACUUUAAUAUUCUCUUCCAUUAUCCAAAAUAUACAAUAUAAGUCAAAUUAACAUCUUAAACUCCCGCCCAAGACUCAAACGCCAUCAAAUAACAGAGAUGACACAUAGUUACAGAAGGCAUAUAGUUAUGCAACUUUAGGCUCUUACCAUAUGCUUUUCUGUUUGAAACAUCGUCUAGCAGAGUUUGCUGACUGCAUUAUUCGGUGUUUUCGCUCCCCUGUUGAAGCAAAAAUGACUUGCUGGUACAUCCACUUUCCAAUUCAUAUCAUAUACACCAAGUUCUUGAUACCUUUGAUUAAAGACACUUCGAGUUGACUCCAAAUGCUGCUUUGAGCUUCCCAUUUUAUUCCAUUCUUGAACCUUUGGUCAGCCACAAAGAAAACCCCUGAAUACAAAUUACCUUGUUGAAUCAAGAAUUGAAAACACACCCUUUAUACGAACAAUGACAAAGUAUGAGAAUUGUUUUUUUCAUGCUAACCUUGUGAAUGUAAGAUCCAACAUUUGAUGAGUACCAUUUGGCUCCGACACUCGAUUCAGGUUUCUCUGAGAACACACAAAGGGAAACUCCUUUCUUCUUAUCGUCUCUUACACUCUUACUUCAACAUGCUUCACGAACAGAGCACUCGUCCUAAGUAAUCGAGAUGAGCUAGGGCCAAGAACCAUGUGAUAAUAGCCAUUAAUGCCGUACCUUAUGCUAAGCAACACUGAAAUAGGAAACAAAACAACAUGUGUGUCCAUUAUAAAGGAGAUCACUGAAGAGGCUAAAGCAUAAAAAAAUUGAAUAUUACAUGCCACAUAUCCAUACAAGUAGCAGGGCGAGCAAACGAGCCGAUUUCUCUUGCCACGUCCAACAAUGAUAGAAAUAAUGACAACAAUAACGAUGAUGGUGAUGCAUGGAAGAGGGUAAUUCCCUCUGUGAAAAAUGAAACUUGAAGCUGUGGGGGAAGGGGCAUAAAGGAUUAUUAACAAGAGAAUUAUCAAAAUGCUGAAAAUACCAUAUUAGAAGAGGAAACAAAUGGCUUGCUAGUAGGUGUAAGUAAUGAAAUUGGCUGAUUCAUGUUGCCUUUUAUUUGUUCUAUGUAAGUAAUGCAACUAAUUGUUCUAUGUAAGAACAAUUGCACGAUUUCCUUCAAAGGCACUGGUUUUUAAUUUUUACCUUUCGUCUAAUAUCCGAGUUUCUGCAUUCGAACUCAGGCUCAGUCAAAAAUAAGAAAAGAAUUUCGCAA